rnacentral:rRNA from 1 species
AGACCCGAAACCCGGUGAUCUAGCCAUGGGCAGGUUGAAGGUUGGGUAACACUAACUGGAGGACCGAACCGACUAAUGUUGAAAAAUUAGCGGAUGACUUGUGGCUGGGGGUGAAAGGCCAAUCAAACCGGGAGAUAGCUGGUUCUCCCCGAAAGCUAUUUAGGUAGCGCCUCGUGAAUUCAUCUCCGGGGGUAGAGCACUGUUUCGGCAAGGGGGUCAUCCCGACUUACCAACCCGAUGCAAACUGCGAAUACCGGAGAAUGUUAUCACGGGAGACACACGGCGGGUGCUAACGUCCGUCGUGAAGAGGGAAACAACCCAGACCGCCAGCUAAGGUCCCAAAGUCAUGGUUAAGUGGGAAACGAUGUGGGAAGGCCCAGACAGCCAGGAUGUUGGCUUAGAAGCAGCCAUCAUUUAAAGAAAGCGUAAUAGCUCACUGGUCGAGUCGGCCUGCGCGGAAGAUGUAACGGGGCUAAACCAUGCACCGAAGCUGCGGCAGCGACACUGUGUGUUGUUGGGUAGGGGAGCGUUCUGUAAGCCUGUGAAGGUGUGCUGUGAGGCAUGCUGGAGGUAUCAGAAGUGCGAAUGCUGACAUAAGUAACGAUAAAGCGGGUGAAAAGCCCGCUCGCCGGAAGACCAAGGGUUCCUGUCCAACGUUAAUCGGGGCAGGGUGAGUCGACCCCUAAGGCGAGGCCGAAAGGCGUAGUCGAUGGGAAACAGGUUAAUAUUCCUGUACUUGGUGUUACUGCGAAGGGGGGACGGAGAAGGCUAUGUUGGCCGGGCGACGGUUGUCCCGGUUUAAGCGUGUAGGCUGGUUUUCCAGGCAAAUCCGGAAAAUCAAGGCUGAGGCGUGAUGACGAGGCACUACGGUGCUGAAGCAACAAAUGCCCUGCUUCCAGGAAAAGCCUCUAAGCAUCAGGUAACAUCAAAUCGUACCCCAAACCGACACAGGUGGUCAGGUAGAGAAUACCAAGGCGCUUGAGAGAACUCGGGUGAAGGAACUAGGCAAAAUGGUGCCGUAACUUCGGGAGAAGGCACGCUGAUAUGUAGGUGAAGUCCCUCGCGGAUGGAGCUGAAAUCAGUCGAAGAUACCAGCUGGCUGCAACUGUUUAUUAAAAACACAGCACUGUGCAAACACGAAAGUGGACGUAUACGGUGUGACGCCUGCCCGGUGCCGGAAGGUUAAUUGAUGGGGUCAGCGCAAGCGAAGCUCUUGAUCGAAGCCCCGGUAAACGGCGGCCGUAACUAUAACGGUCCUAAGGUAGCGAAAUUCCUUGUCGGGUAAGUUCCGACCUGCACGAAUGGCGUAAUGAUGGCCAGGCUGUCUCCACCCGAGACUCAGUGAAAUUGAACUCGCUGUGAAGAUGCAGUGUACCCGCGGCAAGACGGAAAGACCCCGUGAACCUUUACUAUAGCUUGACACUGAACAUUGAGCCUUGAUGUGUAGGAUAGGUGGGAGGCUUUGAAGUGUGGACGCCAGUCUGCAUGGAGCCGACCUUGAAAUACCACCCUUUAAUGUUUGAUGUUCUAACGUGGACCCGUGAUCCGGGUUGCGGACAGUGUCUGGUGGGUAGUUUGACUGGGGCGGUCUCCUCCUAAAGAGUAACGGAGGAGCACGAAGGUUGGCUAAUCCUGGUCGGACAUCAGGAGGUUAGUGCAAUGGCAUAAGCCAGCUUGACUGCGAGCGUGACGGCGCGAGCAGGUGCGAAAGCAGGUCAUAGUGAUCCGGUGGUUCUGAAUGGAAGGGCCAUCGCUCAACGGAUAAAAGGUACUCCGGGGAUAACAGGCUGAUACCGCCCAAGAGUUCAUAUCGACGGCGGUGUUUGGCACCUCGAUGUCGGCUCAUCACAUCCUGGGGCUGAAGUAGGUCCCAAGGGUAUGGCUGUUCGCCAUUUAAAGUGGUACGCGAGCUGGGUUUAGAACGUCGUGAGACAGUUCGGUCCCUAUCUGCCGUGGGCGCUGGAGAACUGAGGGGGGCUGCUCCUAGUACGAGAGGACCGGAGUGGACGCAUCACUGGUGUUCGGGUUGUCAUGCCAAUGGCACUGCCCGGUAGCUAAAUGCGGAAGAGAUAAGUGCUGAAAGCAUCUAAGCACGAAACUUGCCCCGAGAUGAGUUCUCCCUGACCCUUUAAGGGUCCUGAAGGAACGUUGAAGACGACGACGUUGAUAGGCCGGGUGUG